GACGAACGCUGGCGGCGUGCUUAACACAUGCAAGUCGAGCGGUAAGGCCCUUCGGGUACACGAGCGGCGAACGGGUGAGUAACACGUGGGUGACCUGCCCUCAGCUCUGGGAUAAGCCUGGGAAACCGGGUCUAAUACCGGAUAUGACCAUUGGAUGCAUGUCUGGUGGUGGAAAGCCAGUUACUUUUGUUUCUGGCGGCUGGGGAUGGGCCCGCGGCCUAUCAGCUUGUU
rnacentral:rRNA from 1 species